rnacentral:rRNA from 2 species
UUCCGGUUGAUCCUGCCGGACCCGACUGCUAUCGGAUUGAGACUAAGCCAUGCGAGUCAACCCGCAAGGGUGGCGGACGGCUCAGUAACACGUAGUGAACCUGCCCUGGGGACGUGGACAACCAUGGGAAACUGUGGCUAAACCGCGAUAGGUCAUUGUUUCUGGAAUGGGCAAUGGCUCAAACCUACAUGGCCCCAGGGAUGGCACUGCGGCCGAUCAGGUUGUUGGUGAGGUAAUGGCCCACCAAGCCUGUAACCGGUACGGGCUCUGAGAGGAGGAGCCUGGAGAUGGGCACUGAGACAAGGGCCCAGGUCCUAUGGGACGCAGCAGGCGCGAAACCUUCGCAAUAGGCGAAAGCCUGACGAGGUUAUUCCGAGUGUUCCCUGCUAAAGGGAUCUUUUGCCAGCUCUAAAAAUGCUGGUGAAUAAGGGGUGGGCAAGCCUGGUGUCAGCCGCCGCGGUAAUACCAGCACCCCGAGUGGUCGGGAUGAUUAUUUGGCCUAAAGCAUCCGUAGCCGGCGCAUCAAGUCUUCCGUUAAAUCCACCUGCCCAACAGAUGGGCUGCGGGAGAUACUGCUGCGCUAGGAGGCGGGAGAGGCGAGGGGUAUUCCAUGGGUAGGGGUAAAAUCCUCUGAUCCAUGGAGGACCACCAGUGGCGAAGGCGUCUCGCCAGAACGCGCUCGACGGUGAGGGAUGAAAGCUGGGGGAGCAAACCGGAUUAGAUACCCGGGUAGUCCCAGCUGUAAACGAUGUAGGCUCGGUGAUGGACUGGAUUCGAUCCAGCCCAGUGCCGCAGGGAAGCCGUUAAGCCUACCGCCUGGGGAGUACGGUCGCAAGACUGAAACUUAAAGGAAUUGGCGGGGGAGCACCACAA